CACGGACUCACGGUCUCGCGGAUAGUGGCCCAAGGCCCAAGCAGCAGCGCGCUGCGCGCCAGAGCGCCCAAGCUCCCAGUCCCAGCGGCCCAGCCCCAGACGGCCAGAGGCCCAGAGCUAGACGCAGACUCCCAUCCCAAUUCCCAGUCGGCCAGUCGUCCACGCUCCACGGCCAGACCCUGAGAGCUGAGACCGUGAGACGCCACAAACGGCAAACCCUAGCUGGCUAGCUCCCUGGAGGACUGGAGGUGACGGCUGCUGGCUGCAAGACUGAAGGCUCCGACGCUGUCGCUCUCGCUCCGAGGUCAGCACUCAGCACUCGGCAGUCGGCACCAGGCAAGGCAAGGCAGCAAGCCAGCAGCCCAGCACGACGGUCGCCGGCGACAGGCGACCAGCCAUCACCGCGUCAGGUGGCCAGCGACCAGCGUCCAGCGGUACAGGCGUACAGCCAUUAGGCGGCCAGCCGGCCAGCGCCCUCGGCCAGCGGCAGCGCGCACCGCCCAGCUGGCCAGCUUGACAGCAUCAGGCGGCCAGCGCCCUCGCCCCUCGGCCAGCGCCUAACGCUCCAGCAGCCAAGUCGUCGUCGGCAAGCCACUGCGCCAGUUCAUGGCUUGGCUUCAUGCUGAUAAUCUGGUACUAGUAUGGAGACAUGGAGAUUGGAGAGUGGUCCUGUGCGGUGCUUACUGCUUAGUGCUUAGUGUUGUCUGAAUUGGUGUUGUGCGGUGCUUAGACAUGGAGAUAGGUACUAUGGAUUGAAUUGAUGUUGUCUGUUCUGUUGUGCGGUGCUUAGACCUGACCACCUGUUGUCUGUUCUCUAUUGACUGUUGUGCUUGUGCCAUUGUGCACUUGUGCCGUUGUGCGCCUUGUGCCUGAGCUAGUGCCUGUGCCACACUGCCAGUCUGCCACUGCGCAAUGCGCAUGCCGCAUGAUGCCGUUCAGGCGUUCAGCUAUGGACUGAAGCGGUGAAGCCUGAGCUAGUGCGGACGUGCGGUGAAGCCUAAGCUAGUGCAGACGCCUGAUGGCUGAUGUCUGAAGCCUGAUGCCGUUCAGCUGUUGUGCACUAUUUCACUGUUUUAAUUUUUAAAUAAUCUGUGACUGGAAUAUUGUUUCACUGUUUUAAUUUUUAAAUAAUGUGUACUGUGUCUGUGUACUCUAUAGUCUA